UAACGUUAGUCGGGGAGCCUUUAGGCUGAGAUCACGUAAGUGGGACCCGUUGAACCUGAACCAGUUAAUACUGGCGUAGUGGAACUAACGGAUACCCAAU
rfam:Photobacterium damselae subsp. damselae CIP 102761 Contig57, whole genome shotgun sequence.